CUCAAUUAACGAGUCAUCCUUAUACAUUAUCCGAUAUGAGCGUCAAAUUACUAAACUUCAAUAUCCCGUCUGGUAUAAAGGUGAAACAAGCUGUCUCCAUACCUCGUCCGAUAUGAGCGCCAAAUUGCCAAGUCUCAAUACCCUAUCCGAUAUAAGACAACGUUCACGGUAGAGCUCCCUAUUGUACUCGGUCUCUCCAUCAUCUCCCAAGAU
rnacentral:lncRNA from 1 species